rnacentral:rRNA from 1 species
UACAGAGGUCUCAAGCGUUGUUCGGAUUCAUUGGGCGUAAAGGGUGCGUAGGCGGCGCGGUAAGUCGGGUGUGAAAUUUCGAGGCUUAACUUCGAAACUGCGUUCGAUACUGCCGUGCUUGAGGACUGGAGAGGAGACUGGAAUUUACGGUGUAGCGGUGAAAUGCGUAGAUAUCGUAAGGAAGACCAGUGGCGAAGGCGGGUCUCUGGACAGUUCCUGACGCUGAGGCACGAAGGCCAGGGGAGCAAACGGG